GGCCGCGUGGCCUAAUGGUAAGGCGUUUCUCUCCUACUAUGAGUCUCAGCGAUGUGUCAGUAACUGUCCAUUGCCUCUGGGAAGGGAAGAAAAGAUUGCGGGUUCGAGUCCCGUCGUGGUCG